rnacentral:rRNA from 1 species
CUCGUAGGCGGUUUGUCGCGUCUGCUGUGAAAUCCCGAGGCUCAACCUCGGGCCUGCAGUGGGUACGGGCAGACUAGAGUGCGGUAGGGGAGAUUGGAAUUCCUGGUGUAGCGGUGGAAUGCGCAGAUAUCAGGAGGAACACCGAUGGCGAAGGCAGAUCUCUGGGCCGUAACUGACGCUGAGGAGCGAAAGGGUGGGGAGCAAACAGGAUUAGAAACCC